rnacentral:rRNA from 1 species
UACGGGGGGAGCAAGCGGUUGUUCGGAUUUACUGGGCGUAAAGGGCGCGUAGGCGGUCAGCACAAGUCAGUUGUGAAAUCUCUGGGCUUAACUCGGAAAGGUCAACUGAUACUGUGCGACUAGAGUGCAGAAGGGGCAACUGGAAUUCUCGGUGUAGCGGUGAAAUGCGUAGAUAUCGAGAGGAACACCUGCGGCGAAGGCGGGUUGCUGGGCUGACACUGACGCUGAUGCGCGAAAGCCAGGGGAGCGAACGGG